AGCCCGCUCCGCGUGCUCCGCCCCAUUCCCAAAGUCCCUGCUGCCGAUAGCCCCUGCCCUAAAACUGCUCCAGCCGCCCCUCCUGGGAUUGCCAUCCCCUCGGCGCGGACAGGUGAGGGUGAUGCAGACCCCCGCUGCGCUCCUCGCCCGCCGCGCUCCCCUCUCUCCAGCAGGUCACUGCCGGGGAAGGUGCCCGCGGGAACCCGGAGCGAUUCUCCCGCAUCGGCGACUGGGAAGCGGAUUCUGGAUUUCGACCAGUGCUGCUCCAUGUGCUUAAUAUGCAUUACCUCAUUUCAUCCUCAGAGCAAAGCUGUGGGCCCCCCAACAUGCCUGGACUGCCUGCUCCCACCUACCUACCUACCUCCCCAUCCCCACAGAGUAACAAGUUUCCAGGGAAGGGCAAAAGAAAAUUCAGCAGGACUACUCUCUCCUUCCUCCUGCCCCGGCCCAUGCAGUUUGGCAAGCUCAGGCUUCUUGCUAUCCCAGGAUAGCAGCUGUAAGAGGGCAGGGAAGCCAGACCUGGCCCCCUGCAAAUCACUGGGCCCUAGAAGAGAAGGGCAGAUCCACUCGCUGUUCCUGGUUGAUAAAAGAGCAGAAACUGAAGACACUGAGUUCUUGGCCACCUAGAGGUAAAAGGAAAAUGAUACUAGAAGGAAAGUCUGAGAUUCAAGAAGGAAUGGUGAGCAAAGAAAAUGGUAAACAUCUCCAGAAUUGUAUACUAACUGCCCAGAGCACAUCUGCCAGAGGAUGUCCCUCAGGACCUCACAUUCCAUGGCUUCAAACCCCGCUCGCUCUCCGUGACUACCAACACACUGCUCCUCUCCUGUAUUCCUGAGUUUUGGAUGUCAUGCUUGAGAGAAACGUGGAAGUCGGCUCACCUCUCCCUAACUCCUGCUCCCCACACUCAGUAGCUUAUCAGAACCUUCCCAUCUUGUCUUACUCCCCGCUCCCCUCACGGAGCGGAGGUUGGCUGGCGCCGCCCUCUGCUGGUGACUUUAGGAACUACAAUUCCUUAGAGCUGCUGGGCUCCCAAGCGUCGAGGGCCGCAACAGGGCUUUUUUCCCUCGGGUCUCCACCGAGUAAGAUUGCUUUGCCCCAGGCAGCAAGGCGGCCCCCAGGGCGGUCUACGAGCAGUGAGAAAACCGGCCAUCCCCUCCUCCCCCAGGCCCUAGCCAUAUUCACUGGCCCCACAGCUCUGCGAUGCACACCGCCCCUCCGCCCCUUCCCCUCGUUGGUCCUCCUCUCCUAGCUCACAGCCCGGGAUGGGUGGUAGCACAGCGAAUGCGGGGUCAGGGUGCCUCCCGGAGGCAGGAGCCUCCGUACAUCUCCCUUGGGCUCAGCCGGUCUGUGCUAAGAGAAGGCUGAACAUUCAGCCUGCUGGACCAGACUCAGCUCGAAUGGACCUCAUCUUGCCUUAAUGUGUAUAGUAACAGGUGACCCCUUCUGUUGCAGUCCUGAGUACCUACGGCUUCAUAGGUGCCUCUACCCUAGUAUGGAGGGUGGGGCCUGGGGAGGUGGGAGGGGAAGCCCUGUGCCAGGUCCCACCUCUUGGUGCCCUAAGAGCAGGCUGGAUUUCAUUCUCCAGUAGCAUCUAAUUAAGGUGUCCUGGGCUCACAGCUCUACUGCCCCUGAGAUGUUCCUUAGUCUAAUGGAGUAACAGACAAACAGAAGAUAGUGGGGGCCGGUAAACAGGUUUUAGUGUCAUUCAGAAGGUGGAAUCAGCUGGACUUGGUGGUUGAUUAAACUCAUUAAAUUAACAUUAACUGAAUGCUUCUGAGUGCUGGGCAUUGUGUGGAGUCUUUGGAAGACAGGGAAGUAGCUUCCAAAAUCCUAGCAGGAGAAACUGAAAUGGGGACUGGGAAGAACAGACUAGAGAGGCUAGGGAACGGAGAUGACGGGCCCUGUGUGGACAAGCUGAGCAUGUGGUGCACUGGGACAUCCAAGUGAAAGGCCCAGCAGAUGGCUGAUAUGCAGGCUGGGGAUCGGGUGCACCAUCAGUGAGCUGCUGGGACCUGGUGGGAGGAGCCCUGAGUAGACAGACAUAACCGAAGCGGUAGGGUGAGAGGUUUCUGGAGAGGGGGUGUAGAGUGAGGACAGAAGAGGAUCUACAGCCCCAAGGUCACUGGCUCUGAAGAGCCUGAGAAAGAGGCCACAGAGGAUUAGGUAGACAGGGAGAAACUGUGUGGACAGGGAAAUCCAGGCAGAGGACGUCAGGAGGGAGGGAGCAGGCUAGAAGGGGAAGGCCUAGGGUAGUAAAGGGCCUGAGAAGACCUACUGGACUUUGCCACAGGAAACUGGGGGACAGUAUUUCUGAAAUGAUGCAGGCUGAAGGUGGACUACAGCAGACCCAGAGUUUGAGAGUGAGGAAGGGGAAGCAAUGAAUGUAGGCAUUCUUGGGGAAAGAGGGUGUUGUUUGUUUUAAUGAGAGAUCUGAGCACAUCUGGGAAGGAAUCAGGUAGGGGAAGUUGAAAAUAAAGGACAAGAGGGGGUGAUAGAGUACCUCUUAUGACAUGUGACCCAAAACCAUUUGGCUAAAACUAAUCUACUUUGUCAUGAGAUGGAAUUAUUUAAAUGUCCAAAAAGGGGUUGAUUAGGUCAAAUAAAUGUCUAACAAUAUGGGAUUUAUUGCAAAAUAAUUUUCCAAUGAGAACUAAUUGGAACAAAACCUCUAACAAUAAAAUUUUUAAUGUUUA